CUCCUCUCAGGAUCGCACCUGGAGAGUUUCCAGUACUCUACCAGUCUCUACUAUGGGAGGGAGAGUCAAGCGGAGGCAUACCCAGUUCAUUCCUAGCUUGGGCAAUAGCUAGUGAGUUGAAGGCAAUCUGCCACAGGU